rnacentral:rRNA from 1 species
GAUGAAUGCUGGCGGCGUGCCUAAUACAUGCAAGUCGAGCGAACAGACGAGGAGCUUGCUCCUCUGACGUUAGCGGCGGACGGGUGAGUAACACGUGGAUAACCUACCUAUAAGACUGGGAUAACUUCGGGAAACCGGAGCUAAUACCGGAUAACAUGUUGAACCGCAUGGUUUAACAGUGAAAGACGGUCUUGCUGUCACUUAUAGAUGGAUCCGCGCCGCAUUAGCUAGUUGGUAAGGUAACGGCUUACCAAGGCAACGAUGCGUAGCCGACCUGAGAGGGUGAUCGGCCACACUGGAACUGAGACACGGUCCAGACUCCUACGGGAGGCAGCAGUAGGGAAUCUUCCGCAAUGGGCGAAAGCCUGACGGAGCAACGCCGCGUGAGUGAAGAAGGUCUUCGGAUCGUAAAACUCUGUUAUUAGGGAAGAACAAAUGUGUAAGUAACUAUGCACGUCUUGACGGUACCUAAUCAGAAAGCCACGGCUAACUACGUG